rnacentral:rRNA from 1 species
GAUGAACGCUGGCGGCGUGCCUAAUACAUGCAAGUCGAGCGAACAGACGAGGAGCUUGCUCCUCUGACGUGAGCGGCGGACGGGUGAGUAACACGUGGAUAACCUACCUAUAAGACUGGGAUAACUUCGGGAAACCGGAGCUAAUCCCGGAUAAUAUAUUGAACCGCAUGGUUCAAUAGUGAAAGACGGUUUUGCUGUCACUUAUAGAUGGAUCCGCGCCGCAUUAGCUAGUUGGUAAGGUAACGGCUUACCAAGGCAACGAUGCGUAGCCGACCUGAGAGGGUGAUCGGCGGCACUGGAGCGUGGACGCGGUCCAGACGCCUACGGGAGGCAGCAGUAGGGAACCGUCGGCAAUGGGCGAGAGCCUGACGGAGCAACGGCGCGCGAGUGAUGAAGGUCUUCGGAGCGUAAUACUCUGUUAUGAGGGAAGAACAAAUGUGUAAGUAACUAUGCACUGCUUGACGGUACCUAAUCAGAAAGCCACGGCUAACUACGUG